AUGAGAAGAGAGUAUUACUCACAAAAGAUGGAUAUAUCAGCUAGUGAUGAAGAGAAAGUUGAUGACAGAUCUAGUGAGAAGUCUGAAGAUCUUGAAAAAGAGGCCAUGAGUUUUGAAGCUGCUGAAUCAUAUACGUCCCUGAUGGUGCAGCGAGUGCAAGAAGACCGUAUCGAGGACAAGGGGCAACGCUGGAAUAUUUUUCAGUCUGAGUGCAAAAUCAGCGACACCAAUUGUAAGUUGAUCAUCGAUGGUGGAAGCUACACCAAUGAGGUCAGCAAGGGGUUGGUGGGUUAUUUAGGAUUACGUGUGUGGAAACACCCACAACCCCACUUAGUCGAGUGGCUGUAUAAUACUGAAAAGUUAAAUGUUGCUCACAAGGUGUGCAUCAAAUUUUUGGUUGGCAACUAUAUUGAUAGGGUGAUAUGUGAUGUUUUGCCAAUUGGAUGCAUGCCACUUACUGUUGGCAAGGACGUGGCAACAUGA
rnacentral:rRNA from 1 species